rnacentral:misc_RNA from 1 species
UACGGAGGGGGUUAGCGUUGUUCGGAAUUACUGGGCGUAAAGCGCACGUAGGCGGAUCAGAAAGUUGGGGGUGAAAUCCCGGGGCUCAACCCCGGAACUGCCUCCAAAACUUCUGGUCUGGAGUUCGAGAGAGGUGGGUGGAAUUCCGAGUGUAGAGGUGAAAUUCGUAGAUAUUCGGAGGAACACCAGUGGCGAAGGCGGCUCACUGGCUCGGUACUGACGCUGAGGGACGAAAGCGUGGGGAGCAAACAGG